rnacentral:rRNA from 1 species
AUUGAACGCUGGCGGCAUGCCUUACACAUGCAAGUCGAACGGCAGCGGGGGAGAAGCUUGCUUUUCCUGCCGGCGAGUGGCGAACGGGUGAGUAAUACAUCGGAACGUGCCCUGUAGUGGGGGAUAACUAGUCGAAAGAUUAGCUAAUACCGCAUACGACCUGAGGGUGAAAGUGGGGGACCGCAAGGCCUCAUGCUAUAGGAGCGGCCGAUGUCUGAUUAGCUAGUUGGUGGGGUAAAGGCCUACCAAGGCGACGAUCAGUAGCUGGUCUGAGAGGACGAUCAGCCACACUGGGACCGAGACACGGCCCAGACUCCUACGGGGGGCAGAAGUGGGGAAUUUUGGACAAUGGGCGAAAGCCUGAUCCAGCAAUGCCGCGUGUGUGAAGAAGGCCUUCGGGUUGUAAAGCACUUUUGUCCGGAAAGAAAUGGCUCUGGUUAAUACCUGGGGUCGAUGACGGUACCGGAAGAAUAAGGACCGGCUAACUACGUGCCAGCCGCCGCCGCGG